AUUGAACGCUGGCGGCAGGCCUAACACAUGCAAGUCGAACGAGUGGCGGACGGGUGAGUAAUGUCUGGGAAACUGCCUGAUGGAGGGGGAUAACUACUGGAAACGGUAGCUAAUACCGCAUACCAUCAGAUGUGCCCCGAUGGGCUUAGCUAGUUGGUGGGGUAACGGCUCACAAAGGCGACGAUACCUAGCUGGUCUGAGAGGAUGACAGGACACACUGGAACUGAGACACGGUCCAGACUCCUACGGGAGGCAGCAGUGGGGAAUAUGGCAAAGUGGGCGCAAGCCUGAUGCAGCCAGGGCGAGUGUAUGAAGAAGGCCUUCGGGUUGUAAAGUACUUUCAGCGGGGAGGCGUUACCCGCAGAAGAAGCACCGGCUAACUCCGUGCCAGCAGCCGCGGUAAUAC
rnacentral:rRNA from 1 species